GAUGAACGCUGGCGGCGUGCCUAAUACAUGCAAGUCGAGCGAACGGACGAGAAGCUUGCUUCUCUGAUGUUAGCGGCGGACGGGUGAGUAACACGUGGAUAACCUACCUAUAAGACUGGGAUAACUUCGGGAAACCGGAGCUAAUACCGGAUGAUAUUUUGAACCGCAUGGUUCAAAAGUGAAAGACGGUCUUGCUGUCACUUAUAGAUGGAUCCGCGCUGCAUUAGCUAGUUGGUAAGGUAACGGCUUACCAAGGCAACGAUGCAUAGCCGACCUGAGAGUGUGAUCGGCUACACUGGAACUGAGACAAGGUCCAGACUCCUACGGGAGGCAGCAGUAGGGAAUCUUCCGCAAUGGGCGAAAGCCUGACGGAGCAACGCCGCGUGAGUGAUGAAGGUCUUCGGAUCGUAAAACUCUGUUAUUAGGGAAGAACAUAUGUGUAAGUAACUGUGCACAUCUUGACGGUACCUAAUCAGAAAGCCACGGCUAACUACGUG
rnacentral:rRNA from 1 species